GGUCAUUGAUGUCGGACAUUUCGGGACUGCAGGAUCUGUAAGGGUCAGGUCCUGGAGAGCACGUACACUGAACAGGGCCUGCAGUGACGGUAUUUCGAUGAGAACCCAUUUGGCUUUAAGAUAGAGAGACAGUUUAGGGACGAGUAAUAAUGGCGAUGACAAUGAAUACAAGAGUGUUGCAGAUUGUUGGUCUGAGCUUGCUCCUCCUGACACCCUCCAAGGGGAAUGAGACGAAGAUGAUAAAGGAUCAGACCGGAAACACCCCUACCAACCCUCUCCCAUGUCUUCUCACCUGUGUAGGAUCUACUGGACAUGGUGCAACAACGUGGACUGGAUAUCCAGGACGACUAUCUACAACGGUUGAUAUCUCGGCAUGCCAGUUCGUGUGUACACCUAUCGUUAUCACCUCUAUGAAUGGUGAUAAAAUGCACGACUACAUGGUUGGGAUGACCUCGCCUAGUCAUAUGACAAAGGACAAGUUUGAUAUUGAAGUGAUGGGAUUAGUUUGGACUGCUUUUUAUCCAGAGACUAGAUAUAAAACAACAACGAGUGAUGCAAACAGCUGGAAUUGGAACAUCAACUGGAUAGCUGUGGGGUCCACAUGUUAACGUGAGAGGAGGCAUAAUUUGGUUACGGUGAUCAAGGAAUCGCGACGUUUGCUGUAUAUCUCCUGCACUUAACUGGGCUGGUGGCAUUUUGUUGUUGUAUUUUCAAACCGAUUUAAUUUCUUGAAAUAA